UGAUUUAAAUUGUCAAUCACAUUAUCAAUCAAAUUUAAUCCCAACAAACUUCAAAUUAAUCCCUUAAAAUUAGCAUAAACAUAUUU
rnacentral:sRNA from 1 species